rnacentral:rRNA from 1 species
CAGGGAAUAUUGCGCAAUGGGCGAAAGCCUGACGCAGUAACGCCGCGUGGGGGAUGAAGGCCUUCGGGUUGUAAACCCCUUUCAGCAGGGACGAAAUUGACGGUACCUGCAGAAGAAGCACCGGCCAACUACGUGCCAGCAGCCGCGGUAACACGUAGGGUGCGAGCGUUGUCCGGAUUCAUUGGGCGUAAAGGGCGUGUAGGCGGCUUUGUAGGUCCGCUGUGAAAACUCGAGGCUCAACCUCGAGAUGUCGGCGGAAACCACUUGGCUAGAGUCCGGAAGAGGAGAGUGGAAUUCCCGGUGUAGCGGUGAAAUGCGCAGAUAUCGGGAAGAACACCUAUGGCGAAGGCAGCUCUCUGGGACGGUACUGACGCUGAGACGCGAAAGCGUGGGGAGCGAACAG